rnacentral:rRNA from 1 species
GACAGAGGGGGCAAGCGUUGCUCGGAAUCACUGGGCGUAAAGGGCGCGUAGGCGGGAUGGCAAGUCAGUCGUGAAAUCUCUCGGCUCAACCGAGAAACGUCGGCUGAUACUGCCGUUCUUGAGGGAUGCAGAGGAGACUGGAAUUCCUGGUGUAGCGGUGGAAUGCGCAGAUAUCAGGAGGAACACCGGUGGCGAAGGCGGGUCUCUGGGCCGAUACUGACACUGAGAAGCGAAAGCGUGGGGAGCGAACAGG